UGGGGAAUCUUCCGCAAUGGACGAAAGUCUGACGGAGCAACGCCGCGUGUAUGAUGAAGGUCUUCGGAUUGUAAAGUACUGUCAUUGGGGAAGAACGGUUUUCUUGAAAAGAUUGAGAAGACAUGACGGUACCCAAGGAGGAAGCCCCGGCUAACUACGUGCCAGCAGCCGCGGUAAUACGUAGGGGGCAAGCGUUGUCCGGAAAUUAUUGGGCGUAAAAGGGCGCGUAGGCGGGCCUUUAAGUCCGGUGUGAAAGAUCAGGGCUCAACCCUGAGAGUGCAUCGGAAACUGGAGGCCUUGAGGACAGGAGAGGAAAGUGGAAUUCCACGUGUAGCGGUGAAAUGCGUAGAUAUGUGGAGGAACACCAGUGGCGAAGGCGACUUUCUGACUGUAACUGACGCUGAGGCGCGAAAGCGUGGGUAGCAAACAGGAUUAGAUACCCUGGUAGUCCACGCCGUAAACGAUGAGUACUAGGUGUAGGAGGUAUCGACCCCUUCUGUGCCGCAGUUAACACAAUAAGUACUCCCGCCUGGGAAGUACGAUCGCAAGAUUAAAAACUC
rnacentral:rRNA from 1 species